UACGGGAGGCAGCAGGGGGAAUAUUGCACAAUGGGCGCAAGCCUGAUGCAGCCAUGCCGCGUGUAUGAAGAAGGCCUUCGGGUUGUAAAGUACUUUCAGUCGUGAGGAAGGUGUUAAGGUUAAUAACCUUAGCAAUUGACGUUAGCGACAGAAGAAGCACCGGCUAACUCCGUGCCAGCAGCCGCGGUAAUACGGAGGGUGCGAGCGUUAAUCGGAAUUACUGGGCGUAAAGGGCACGCAGGCGGUUAAUUAAGUUGGAUGUGAAAUCCCCGGGCUUAACCUGGGAAUGGCAUUCAAGCUGGUUAGCUAGAGUCUUGUAGAGGGGGUAGAAUUCCAUGUGUAGCGGUGAAAUGCGUAGAGAUGUGGAGGAAUACCGGUGGCGAAGGCGGCCCCUGGACAAAGACUGACGCUCAUGUGCGAAAGCGUGGGGAGCAAAC
rnacentral:rRNA from 1 species